GAGCCACAGCCGCUGCCGCCGCGCCGCUCCGCGGGAACCAGGGCUCCGUUCCCUGCGCGGGCUCGAGAGCUCGCCCCGACCUGGGGGUCUUCCUUCUCUGCCGUUGACAGGUUUUGACCUUUAGGAGAGAGCCAAUUCUGGAGAACAACCUAACUUCUUUGAUUGAACAUUCACAUAAUGCAAUGGAACAUGAUAGGAGAUUAAGGUAUACUAAUGAAUUUUUAAAGCAUACGAUUUUAUAUCUUUGCAAUAUAAUUGAACUAGACAUUUGGUAAAGUUAGAACUUUUAGGUGAGCUAAAUUCAAUAAAGAUUUAUUGAUUAACAGAAGUUAUUCAGUGAAGUGGCCAAGGUUGAGCUUUUCUUGCUUUAUUAAAGCUUCAGAUUUUUUUAUGCAGUUGAUGUUCUUAUCCUGUAUGGGUCCAGCUCCAAAUGAGUUUAUUUAUUCUAAGAAUAAAUAUAUGUUAUGAGUUUUUUCUUAAGUUUGUUACUACAGUGUUAUAUGUUAAAUAAUUAAGUAGUAGAUUUUUCAUGUUAUAAAAUAGAUGGUUUAAAUCAAGUGAAAUUUGGUGCUUCAUUCUUUGAUAGAUAUAGUGGUAGAUAGAGCCUACGAAAUUUGAUAAGAUUAGUGAGAAUAUUUUAAGAGAACUUGAAAUAUUCCAAGUACUAUCCUAACCAAAACAGCAAUUUGGUUGAAACUGAAAAACGCACUUUCUAAAGCAGAAACCAGUAUCUUACUCAUAGGUACUCUGAGUAAAAUAUUUAAAUUGUUCAUAUCAAAAGUUGUAAACUCUUUAAAAAUAAACUGUAGAAUUCCAAAACUUCUAAUGACUUGUCUUUACCUCCAGAAUACUUCAUCACAGAAUCACUUUUCCAGCAUAUUUACUUUAAAAUAAAGUUUAUUUUAUAAUUUUAGUUGAAAAUUUCAGAUACUUAGCUAAUAAAAAUUUCAGCUGCUUUCUAAAUUGUAAUCUGGUGUAAUGAAAACUCAUUUAACAGUAUUACUAAGUAUUACUUGAUUAAUUUUUGAAUAGUAAAGUAUUAAUUACAUGAUAAAGUAUUAACUAAAUGUGUUUUUUAAAACUAUUUGCUAAAUAAAGUGAAUUUGACUAAAAUAUACUAUAAUUUUUUCUUUACAUUUUUUUACUAGCAUUUAUUUUAUAUACUUAAGAUAUAGGAAAUCACAAAGGUUUGUUUUCAUAAGAAAAGUGUAAUUUAGUCUUAAGAGUCAAGUGUAUUUAUCACUUUGGUCAUAGAAUUGCUUUUAUCUUUAAAUAGUGUUAAAGGAUUUUUUUUCCAGCAAAUUCUUAGAUGUGUGUUUAAGAAUGUUUGAACAUUGAGAUAUAUAUCAAAAUACUUAAAAAUCAGAUAUUUCUGUUAUUAGCUAUUAGAUAAUCUAGGAAUGUAAAUCUGUUAACAGUUAAGUAAAAUGUUAAAAUUUAAUAGAAAUCAGUUUUAUAUAAGUGAAGUUCAGAUAUUAGUGUCAUGAUACUGUAAGGCAGUUGUUUGAUACAAGCUAUAAAAAGUUUUCAUAACUUUGAUUUAAGAAUGUUACAGAAAGCAGCUUAGUUUGAAUAGGAUGAGAACAGAUACAAUUUUUUCUCUGUAAGUGAUAUUUUUCAGGUUAAAGAACAUUAAGGUGAAAAGUAAAAAAUAUGGUUUCUCAGUAUCUGGAAAAAAAAAAUCUAGGUUCAUUUUGUCACUUUCAGUCCAGAUAUCUUUAGACACAGCCUUAAUGAGUCAAAGGAGGGAAGAGAUACAGCUUUUGAAUUUAUGUUAUAGAAAAAGACUUAAGUCCACAGAGUUGUUCCUCAUUAAGAGAGUUUAUGAUUUGUGAUCUCUGAAGUUGUCAAAAUGUUGUUUGGACACAAAUAUUUAGCAUCAUAAAAUUGUCCCUUAUAUAGCUUAUAAACUUCCAAAUUUUUAGUGAAUAAUUUAACACCUAAAAUAAUUGAUGCCGAUAUUAACAGUUUUCUUCUAUUGGUCAGCUCUUACAGAGUGAAAAACUUUAACCUAAUUAGUAGUGUAUGUUAUUUUAGAAGACAGGUUAAUAAGGGCUUUUACUGCUAUUAUGUGAUUGACUGUUCCUUAACUUACCCCAUAAAGGACAUUUUGUAAGGAUUUUGGCUGUUUUAAAUUUACAAACCUGUUUAUCUGUGUCUAACUAAGUUUUAAUAUGUAGUUCAUUAUGACAGGAUUUGGGGGAAAGCACUUACUGUGUUAUAUUUUUUUCAGUGCUAGAUUUUUAUCUUAUUUGUAUAAUAUUUAUAUUUUUGGUUAAAUGCAUUUUCAGGGUUAAAUAGCAUUCAUUUUCAGGAAAAUUCUCUGUUGUUUCCCAAAUACAGUUAUGCUGUCUGUGUUCUAGUUUUACUGAAAUAGUUAUCCUUAGGGGGAAAGAAUAUUUGGAUAAACUAGAAUAGAGGUAAUUUAACACAUCUACGUAUGAAGGGACUUGAAAUUAUUCAUUGUCACUGAUGAAUAAUGCUAGUUUAUAAAGACAACUUAUAUUUUAAACAGUUUAUCAGCUAUAAGAGUUUUCUUUAUUAGAGGUUUUAUAGUGUUGCUGAGGAUUCAUUGAAGAGUAGAUAGAUACAGUUUCUUAAUGAAGAAGCUUUAAAUGUUUGAAGCAGUUUUGUACAUGUACUUUAUGGGUUUUUUUGAUUAGUGAAUAGAUCAUUAAUCUUUUUCAGUUUCUUCAAAUAAGACCUAACACAUCAGACUUAAAUUUUCUGAUAAGGAUUUUCAAAGGGCAAUAUUUAAUUAAUGUGAAGAUUCAAUUUUUCAUUUAAUGUCAUUUUGAAGUAAAAUAUCAGUUCUCAGCACCACAAACCCCCACUUUUGUUAUUUCAUUAACAUAUAUGAUUUGGCUUAGUUUUACUUUCCUAUUUUCAUGGUUUGAGUCACUUGGAAGAGAAACAUGUAGCAUGUUUCAGAUGUAGUUGCUGAGGCUCAUCCUCUGGUUAAUAGUUUAUUUGUUACUGUUUCUAAGUUUCUUAAUUUUUUUUAAAUCCUUUUUUGAUUUUGCUCUUACUCUUUUAUUGUAUAACUUUCAUAGUAAACAAAUAUAUUUAGUAAUAUUGUUAUCCUGUGUUCUUCAGAAUUGUCUUUUUAAUUUUUAUUAUAACAUUGUUGGUUCAUUAUUGAGCUAUUGCUGAGUAGAAAACGGUUUUUCAAUUUUGAUAAAAAUUAAAGAUUGGGGGUUUUUAGCAAAAUAUCUGAAUUUUAUUUAUUUAAUAUUAUUGUAUUUUAUACUUUUAUUUAAUUUCAAACCUAACCUUCUUGACUAGCUGUUAUUUAAACUUAGCCACCAGUUCUAGCAUUUAAAAAAGUAAUUUACAGAUGUCCUAAUUUUUCUGACUUAUAAAUUAUUUUUCAGAAUCAAAAAUUGCUUAAGGUGUUUAAGAAUAUCUUUUAAAUUUAAAGUUAUAAGUCCAUAGAUGAAAUUACCUUUAAGUUUAAAGAUAAUUUGAUGAACAAAUACUUACAUUUCUGUUAGUGGUCAAUUGAUAUUAGGUACUUACUAAGUUUUUAGCUUUGUGUUACACAUUCAAAGUAGGUAAAUUACUUGUGGAAAUUUUUUUUAAUAAUUGAAAUUUUUGUAAAAGCUUUAUGGGCUAAAAUCGUAUUUAUUUGCUAAUAAUGUCUGAUGUCAAACUUGUGAUGUGAUUAGAUAUGUUGAAGCUGGGAGACUGGAGCUUUUUAUAAGCAUAAUAUAGUUUUGUUGCUUGAUUAAAGUUUAGAUACUUAGAUAUUUUCCAGUAUAGCUAGGGAACAUACUUUUUAUGAAUUCACCCUAAACCUGGUUAAAAUUCUUCUGAGAAUUUUGAUAAUUGAACAGUUAAAUCUAAACUAGGAGCUGAAGUGUGUCAUUACAUGUGUCAUUAAUUAUUUAACUUAGAUACAUUAUAGGUUCCCUUUCUAAUCAAAACACCAAUUUUGUCUUUUCUUCUCUCUCCACCUCACUUUUUAAAGAAAAAAAUCCUUAAAUAAUUUUAUCAUGUAGUGAUACAAGCAGAACUUCUGGGUAGGGAGGUUGAACUCAACCACUUUUUUCCUUUGUGUGUUAGUUGCAUGUGAUUUUCUCAGCUUGCUGCUUCAGUAGCAGCAACAGUGAAUAAACAAGUAUCAUCAGAGCCCUUGUUCUUGCUUCUUACUUUUGGGAACAGGGGUUGGGAGAUUGCUGCUGCUUGUCAGCUGUUGUUCAAAAUAGCAUCAAUAUGCUGUAGUGGUGGCCAAAGCAGCCUGCACCCACUAGCUUUUAUAGACCAGGUGGAAAUGGCCCAACUGUCAGUGUAAUACAUAUAUAGUAUAAUGAAUACGUUCUUUGACAAAAAGGUAUUUUCGUCCCAAAGCAGCUAAAAGAGAACAGUAGAUACUUUUAAUUCUUAGUUUCUUAUUAUUUUUUACUAUUUACUGUGUGGUUUUUAGUUCAUUUAAUUUUUAUAUAGUUAAUUCCAUGUUUGAAUGGAAAACUAUCUUGCUUCCAAAAGUAUAUAUAUGUUUCAUGCUUUUUACUUUUAAGCUGGUAGGCUGAAAUAAAUUAUUCAAUAAUUAGUGCUGAUAACACAAGUUAGAUAAUACAUUGGUAAUGGCAUUAGGGAAAGAAAAGCUGACUGUGGCCACAUAGGCGUGUUUCUUUCACUUUGGGAUCAUAUUCUAAAUUCGUGUUAUCUUUAUUUUAUAGCUCAGUUUAAAAGGCCAAAUUUUUAAUUGAUUUAACUGUAACUAAAAAGAACAAAAAUCUAUUACUACCUGAUGUUGUAUAUAAUUAAAGACAAAGCAGGCUGUAGAUGGAAAUUCAUAAAUCUUUUUCUCACUAUUAAAAUAAUGUCUUCUAUCUGAACUUUAUAUCUGGGAAGUUCAGGUUAUUCUAAAUCUUUUGAAAUAGGACUGUAAUUUACAAUAGCAUGGAGUGUUUUGAUUUUUAAGAAUUUGAAUCUGUAUAGAUUUACAUAACCUAAAUAUCUGUGUAUUUUUCUCCUCUUUUGUAUCUAAAUUCCAAUAGGUUGUAGUUAGGGGGAAGUGAAUAUUGGAUUUCUGUUAAAGUUGUGAUUUCAUUUUUAGAAUUUUUGGUGGAAAACCGCAAAUGACAUUUUUAGUGUGUAAUCCUAAUGCCCCAAUUUAGAGUUCAACAUUUGCAAUAGUAUUCUUUUAAACAGAGGUAACAAUGGGGUGUUUUUUGGUUUGUUUUGGGAUUUUUCCUAAUACUAGAGUAUUAACAUCUUUAAUAUGUUGAUAUAAUUUAACAGAUACCAUUAAUUACUGAUACCUACUCUUAAUCAAAACAGUGAGUUACAUAAUGCUUUAUAUUGAAAACACCUUAUUUUUACUACUAAUUACUGUGUAAAGCACCUGUGGAUCACCUGUACCAGAAUAACCUAGAAUAAAGCAUUUUUCCAGACCUGAUGAAUCAGAAUCUCUGGGGAUGGACUUAAGUAUUUAUGUUUAUAACAAGUGAGUUUUUCCUAGAAACCCCACAUGUGAGAACACUGCCCAAAAUGAAUUGGGAAAGGAUUCUUCACACCAAUAAACCAUCUACAUUUUCUGCCUUUUUUUCCCUCUUUGGUCAUCAUGGGUCUAAUCUCAGUAACUAAUUAUGAAUUUUAUCACUUCUAACAGUAAUUCUAGGAUAAGUCUUGGUAGUUCUUCAGUCAUAUAAGGAAAAUCUAUAUUAUGAGAGCUUUAUUUUAUGCAAAAGUGCCUUGGACCAAAUUUUAAGUCUAUUUGUUUAGAACAGUUAAUAUACUAUUAAACCUAUACUUGAAGCAAACAGAAGGAAUUGAUCACUUAAGAAUUUUUUAAAUUUUCGUUUAGAUGGUAGCUGUUUUUCUUAAGUAUACUUCCAAAUACAUAUUGGAGAAAAUACAGAAAGGAGAGUUUUUCAUAUGCUGCUUAUAGGAGCAUUUGGCAAUAUCCUAAAGUGGAAGAUAUACAUAGGCUCUAACCCAGCAAUCCUAUUCCUAGAUGUUCUAGAUAAACUCAGACAUUCGUGAAAAAGUCUUAUUUAUUUUUACUUCUAAUAGGAAAAAAUUAAAAGUAAUGUAAAUAUUAGGCAGUGAGAGAAUAUAAAAUUGUGACUUAGUCAUGUGAUAAAAAUGUUAUACAGUUGUAAAGUGAGAUCUGUGUGUAUCAUCAGAGAUGAACGCUUUACUUCAGCAAACAGAAGCUAGUUGCACAAGGUCAGAUAUAGGAGUUCCCUGGUGGCUCAGCAGAUUAAGGAUCUUGUGCUGUCACUACUGUGGCGUGGGUUUGAUCCCUAGCCAGGGAACUUCUCCAUGACCCUCAUGCAGGCAAAAAAUAAAAAUAAAAAAUAAAUAAAAUUAGAUACAGUAUGACAUUUACAUGAAGCUUGAAAGCAAUGAUAUAUUGUUUUUUUCACUUUUUAAAAUUGAAGUAUAGUUGAUUUACAGUGUUGUGAUAAUUUCUGCUAUACAAUAAGUCAAUUCAGUUAUGCAUGUAUACACAUCCAUUCUUUUUCAGAUUCUUUUCCAUAUAGAUUAUCACAGAGUAUUGGGUAGAGUUCCCUGUUAUAUUGCUGUUUUAAAUUCUUGAAUUUGUAUUAAUUCUUAGAAGGUGCAUUAAGAAUUAAACACCAAAUUCAAAAUUGUGAUUAUGUCUUAGGACAAAUGGGAAUGGGGUCCAGGGUAUGGUACAAAAGGAAAAUUCAGUCUUUUUUCUUUAAAAAGUAAAUAAGUAAAAGCAAAGUUAAGUAUGGCAGAAUGUUAGAAUUCAAUAUUAGCUGCAUUGGAGGGCCAGGGCUUGGAUGUAGGAAUUCAUUUCACUGUUCUCUUUAUUUUUCUGUGGAUUUGAAAUACUUAUUUUUUCAAAUAAGUUUAUUUUUUGUUUGUUUAUUUUUCCUUUUUAUGGCUUCACAGUUGGCAUAUGGAAGUUCCUGGGCCAAGAGUUGAAGUGGAGCUGCAGCUGGGGCCUACUCCACAGCCACAGCAUCCCCAGAUCCUUAAUGCAUCAAGUGAAGCCAGGGAUCAAACUUGCGUCCUCACAGUGACAAAUUUGCGUUCUUAACCUGCUGAGCCACAUCAAGAACUUCUAUUUUUUCAAAUAAGUUUUAAGAAUGUACUGUCCCUUUUUUGGUGAAAAUAUUCUGCAAUAAGAUGUACACUUGGAAUACUCUAUUAAGAGCAUGGAUUGGGUUUAUUCUGUUCUAGUCCAUGUCUUAUAGUAGGUGCUUAACUGUUAGUUAGUAUACAAACUAUAACUUAUAAUCAUGGCCCACAGAAAUCAAACAUUCUAACCAAUUUAAGUUGCUAGGAUAUUUUUAAAUUCUUAUAUUUUUAAAGAUGAGCUGUACCAUUUCCUUCCUUUGCUUACUGGCUUUUAAUCCUUUCUACUCUUGUAAGUAAAGGAGAAGCAUGAAAAUAAUUUCUCUUUCUCCUUUUUUAUCACUACUCUUUCAUUUACUUUUUAAUUCAGGCAAUUUCACUACUGUUGUUUUGUUUUAACCAUAGAUCAUAGCACAUUAUUUUCAGAGAUUUCUUCAUGUAUUUUCGGCUCCAACUUAAGCUUUGUAUUUAUACUGUAUCACAGUAUAAUUCUUAGAAUUGGGCAAUAUAUGGAUUUUUAGAUUUCACAGUGGUAUACAUGUGUAUGUGUGUGAGAGAAAGAGAUUGGUUAAUCUUGAGGUAUGAUAUGAAUUUAUCUUAAAAUAGCUACAAUUAUAUGGUAUCCUCCAGAAGCCUCAGUGUGCUUUGACAGUGAAGUAUGAGUUUUAGUUACGCUUACAUACUUGACUUCUAAACUUCAAGAAGGUGAUGGUAACAGAAAAGUGAAUUUUAAAAGUUAAUGAUAGGAAGUUCCUGUCGUGGCUCAGUGGAAAUGAAUCUGACUAGUAUCCAUGAGGACACAGGUUCGAUCCCUUGCCUCGCUCAGUGGGUUAAGGAUCUGGCAUUGCCAUGGGUUGUGGUAUAGGUCACAGACACGACUCAGAUCUGGCAUGGCUGUGGCAUAGGCUGGUGGCUACAGCUCUGAUUUGACCCCUAGCCUCAAAAGCUCCAUAUGGCACAGAUGUGGCCCUAAAAAGACAGAAAAUAAAAUAAAAAAUAAAAAAA
ensembl:lncRNA